rnacentral:rRNA from 1 species
UACGUAGGGGGCAAGCGUUUGUCCGGAAUCAUUGGGCGUAAAGAGCGCGUAGGCGGCCCUGUAAGUCCGCUGUGAAAGUCAAGGGCUCACCCUUGAAUGCCGGUGGAUACUGCAGGGCUAGAGUCCGGAAGAGGAGAAUGGAAUUCCUGGUGUAGCGGUGAAAUGCGCAGAUAUCAGGAAGAACACCCGUGGCGAAGGCGGUUCUCUGGGACGGUACUGACGCUGAGACGCGAAAGCGUGGGGAGCGAACAGG